AACCCGAUCCCAUCUCGAACUCGGCCGUUAAACGCACCAGCGCCCAUGGUACUGUGUCUCAAGACACGGGAGAGUCGGUCGCCGCCAGAC
rnacentral:rRNA from 1 species